rnacentral:lncRNA from 1 species
AUCUAUCAAUGUUAAUAAAUGGUCAGAGUGAGAAAAGGAAGAGAAAUUAGAGAUAAAUUUAAAAAGAAGAAAAAUUGAGAGAGAAAUAAAAGAAAUAAGAUAUUAAUCCUAAGUCCUAACCAAUGAUUAGAAAAUUAGAAAUAUAAGGACGGCUAUACUCCAAAUAGCACACUAGCCUUACUCUCUCUCUCUCUCUCUCUCUCUCUCUCUCUCUCUCUCUAUAUAUAUAUAGUUGAGCUAGAAUACUCCCAAAAGCAUCAUGAAGGUGGUGCUUUUGAGUUUUUAGCCAUUGGAUUGAGAGAUGUGAGGUUGAGAAGAUGGUGGUAGGUGGUGGUAGGUGGAAUAGUAUUUGAUCCAAAGGCUAUUAAUAAUCAAAGAGUAGAUCCAAAAGCUAGAAACUUAGAAGCACCAAGAAUUGGUGCUUUUAAAAGUAUUCUAGCUCAAUUAUAUAUAUAUAUAUAUAUAUAUAUAUAUAUAGAGUGAGGCUACUAUGCUAUCGGAAGCACAGAGCCUUCCGUGCUUCCAGCUCAUUUUCGACGUUGCGACUUUUGAAUCGUCGAUCGGCCUCGUUAAACUUGAUCUA